rnacentral:tRNA from 1 species
AUGGUAAGACGCUUUCGACAAGUCUUUGACUUGCCUAGAGAUGAACCUUCCCGUGCUUUUUAGAACAUAGAUGGCACCAGUCAGGUGACCAUCGAAACGCAAUACGCCGCGUAGACUUCGGUCACGACGGUAUGGCGAGCUUUCGCCGUCCACGUUUCUCUUUCUUCAAGAAGACAAAAACCGCGUCGACCGGUUCCCCGAAUGGGCCCGUAGCUCAGUUGGUUAGAGCACACGCUUGAUAAGCGUGGGGUCGGAAGUUCAAGUCUUCCCGGGCCCACCAUUUGCUUAUGCAAAUGAGGGUUUGGGAUGAUGGAAUGAGGCUGAUGCGGAACGUUGCCGAACCUGGAUUUAUCCGGGCGAUCGAGCUGAUGGGGCUGUAGCUCAGCUGGGAGAGCACCUGCUUUGCAAGCAGGGGGUCAGCGGUUCGAUCCCGCUCAGCUCCACCAAAUCGAUUGGUGUCGAGACUGACGGUAACGAAGCUUGCUUCGCAAGCGCAAGGCGCGUCGCCAAAAGUUUGGCGCCCCCGCGGAGCGCCUGCGGCGCGUGAGCGAAGAAUUUGUCUUCUGAAGAAAAACCAAGUUUGCACGACGCAAUGAGCGUCUGUGCCUGUUCUGCAUAUAUCGUGAAGAGAAGAUUGAUCUGGAGGCUUCCAGGUGUUGGAUUUUAUCCGACGUCCAAGCCCAGUUCUUGUGAAACCAUGGAUGGCCUAGCCGGCCGGAUAUGGUGGAGGGACUGGAGGUAGGUAGGAAGCUUGUCGCUCUGGGUCGUUGUUGUUUGUCAUCUCUCGGGAUGACAUCUGACGGACGACUUGAUUGCCGUUGCCUGACCGCGCGGUAUCGGAUCAUAUCUCGAGAAGCUGGUCUUAAGACCUGACAUAAGAGGGCUGCUCGGCGUAGCUCCAAUAAAAUGAUCAGGUCGAACACGUUCGAUGGCAUUUGUUGGAUUGACUGGGUUGUAAAAAGUAACCUUGGAUCUGCUGGCGUUCCCUUCGGAUACGAGCAUUGAGACGAUGAUGCAUCG